rnacentral:tRNA from 1 species
GUGCUACUAGCUCAGCUGGAUAGAGCGUCUGGCUACGGACCAGAAGGUCGGGGGUUCGAAUCCCUCGUAGCACGCCA